UAGGGAAUAUUGCUUAAUGGGCGAAAGCCUGAAGCAGCAACGCCGCGUGUGCGAUGAAGGUCUUCGGAUUGUAAAGCACUUUUAGAGGGGAUGAGGAAGGACAGUACCCUCUGAAUAAGCCUCGGCUAACUACGUGCCAGCAGCCGCGGUAAAACGUAGGAGGCAAGCGUUAUCCGGAUUUACUGGGCGUAAAGCGCGUGUAGGCGGCACGAUAAGUUGGAUGUGAAAGCUCCCGGCUAAACUGGGAGAGGACGUUCAAUACUGUCGAGCUUGAGGAUGGGAGAGGGAGGUGGAAUUCCGGGUGUAGUGGUGAAAUGCGUAGAUAUCCGGAGGAACACCAGUGGCGAAGGCGGCCUCCUGGCCCAUUUCUGACGCUCAGACGCGAAAGCUAGGGUAGCAAACGGG
rnacentral:rRNA from 1 species